UAUCAAAGCUUGUCUGCUCUCUUGAAUCAAGUCAUCUUCAAGACUACCUACAUUACUUUUUUUUUCAAACACAUUUUCAAAUAGUUUAUCUCACUGUAAUGUCGUCAGCUUCGACCACUACCAAAGAACAAUGCAUAACUAGCAAAUGCAUUGUCCAAGAGCGAAUUAUAGAUGAUGACAAAAAAGACUGUUCCAAGGUAUACAAAAAACUUGCGAGUUGCAUUAACGAAUGUUUAAUGGAGAAAUGUCGAGAAAGGAAGCAGAAAAAUGAUUGUUGAUUCGAAUACCUUCCUAAUAAUAUAAUUUUGUAUGCACAUUGUUAUCUGUACCUCGAUAAUGUUGAUUUUGAAUAAAAUAAUUGUUGAAUUCUGAAAA